ensembl:lncRNA
GGCCACCCUUGUAGCCUUGUUUUUAUAAUACUUUCCUGUGUCAAAAAAAUUAAUGAAGUUAAUUUAGAAUGAGAAAUGAUAGAUAAUGCCUAUAGUUAUCUCCAAGAAGAUUGCUGCAAAGACUAAGAGGAUCACAGACCUUUCUUCUGGAAUGUUCCUGUUCCUAUCUGUAGGAUGAAUGAGUGAAUGAGUGAAUCAGUGACUCAGACAAAGCCACUGUUGCAUAACUGUAUGCAUGCACAGUGAACUCUGCAGACUCUGUGGAUGGUUCCUGUAAAUACAGCUUAAAACCGCAGUGGAAAAGCCACAUGCUCCUGAUACACUUGUGGGGACGUAAAGGGAAACCCACACACCCAAGGAGGCGGACUUUGGCCAUGCAAGGCUGAAGGCCCAGUGUACUGACAUGGAAACUGAAGCUCAGAGAGAAGAGGCGAUGUUGCUUUCUUAACCACUGGAUUUGCAGUGCUGUGGUUCUCAGGAGAGGCCAGGACAGGUUAACCUACUCGCUUGGGAGGCAGGUCCGCAACUUCCUGUCUGGUGAUAAUGAUGUUUCCUUCAACCUCCUGAGCUCUCAGCCAGUCAUUGGGAGCUUGGCACCUGAUUAACAGAAUCUGCCACAGCCUAGAAAAAAAUGAUUCCCUCCAGCUGUCAUGUCAGAUCAGGAAAUAGCUCUCGGGAAUUCUCCAACUCUUUAUUUCAUGGCUCAUCAGGUCAUUGGCUUCAGAACUUUCUACCACAUGCUCGACUCCAGUGGCCUCGGUUGGGCCUGGCCGUGAUGAGCUGCACAGUACUCCAUGCGUAUUUGUGGACGGAAUCGGUGAACAAGCAUUAGAAUCAAUGGAAGAAGGCCAGAGUUAUCCCUUGCCUUCUCUGGAAAGUCACACCUAAUGCUCUGCAGACCCAGCAAACAGUUUACUAGAAAAAUUGCAUUCCGGUGGAGGCAAACAGAGUAACGUAUUUGAAAAGCAUGAACUAAUGGUGAACAUCAGAAAACCACAAGCAACUGCUGCUUCUCUACUAAUUAUAGCUUUAGCCCUCUUUGGUCCUCUCCAGUUCUAGAAAAAGAAAAUGGCAUUCAAUCCUAUUAUCCCUGCUUCCUGACAGCACCCAGACCAGAUCAGACUUACACUUUCUUCAGUGCCCACCUAACCAAAAUCACAAAGCACAAGCCCAAAUUCCAUACAAGUUCCCUCCUAACUAACUAUGACUGUGUGGUCCCGUGGUUCCUCCUGUGGUAUAGUCUGCCUUGAUGCAAGUACCAGGAAAAUAAACUUUGCUUCAUGACAGGUGUGUUCACAACUGAAGGUGUUUGAUUGAUGGUCCCAUUUUCACUGUCUUUAUCUUCCUCACAACAUUUCUGGGGAAGCAGCAUGGAGCUAGAAAACCUAUUUUAUGCCAGUACAAGUGGUUUGUUCAAAUUCACAUAGAUACCAAAUUCACAGUUAUGAAUCAAAAUCUCUCAAUCUCCAGCUGUUUCUUCAAGAUGGGUCAGUCCAUGAAGGCUGCAUCCCAGAGAAAAAGGAAGUAGAGAUAAUUGCAGCUGAGACCAGCAGACUCAGAAUGGAGUGGGGACCAUGAAAAUCCUGCAAGAAAGGGUUGUGGGAGGGGAGCAGAAACAGGCCAGGUUGUGAAAAAUGGGCCAUAGGAGGAACAGGUAAUCAUCUUGCAGGUUGGAGAGGCAACUGAUUCUGCAGGGAGGUGGAUAAGUUAUAUGGGGUGGAUGUCUGGGAGGAAGAAGCAGUGGGCAAGGUUUAAGGUCCUAGAAGCCCUGACAAUGACUAUAGGGGUGGUGUGAAGGUGCUCAGAGAAGAUAAAUGACAACGAGUUAGCAGAGUCUGUUUGUUGUACUUGUU